ensembl:lncRNA
CGAUCUUGUUUUCCCCGCACUCGCCGAGCGGGGGAUGGGGGGAUGCAGUGUGGGAGCUGGGCCCCCUAGCUGGGCUCCCCCCCCCGGGGGCCCCCAAUCGCUCACACGGCGGGGGAGGCGGGGAGCCCCUCGGCCUGGGUGCCUUAAGCUGGGGGUGAGCAGUGGUUAGUUCACCCUUAACCUAGAAGUCUUUGCUAUUUCUAGGGGAGGCUAGGGGCUUAGGGGAGAAGCCUAGGAGGACGUCUUUCUACAAAUUACCCUUGAAUAGAUGCAGUCUUAAUCAUGUAUUCUGAACCCAAGGUCUCCCUCAAUAAAAAAUAAGAAAGGAUUGCAAGAUCAAAAAGUCAACUGGUCUCUCAAGCCCCUAAUAAACUUUGUAGCUGUCUCAGACACUUUUAGUUUAAAAAAAAACAAAAAAACAAAAAACAAGGUUAAACCCCUGGCCAGGUUCUUGCCUCCCAAGUACAGAUAACUGACGCGGGCUGCGUGUGGGAACUCGUCUCCUCUUUGUAUUUUUCAAUUCUUUGCCGGGUUGUAGCAGUUUCCUCUACCUGAGUCCAGCCGCCAAACACAACAGCUUCUUCCUUCCUCCACCCUUCUCUCCUACCAAACUCAGCUUCUUGGAACCCACCCAGAACACCAUUCAGAUGCAAGUCGAAUGCCCCCACUACUGAAUUGGAGAAGAUGGAGAAGAGGGAAAGAAAAAUUAGGGAACAAAGGGGAGAGAGGAG